UCAAUGUUUAAUUUUAAAAAGGCCUAAGUGCACAAUAAAAACUAGAAAAAGGCCUAACUGCAAUUCCAAAAUUAUAAAUGGUUAAUUAAUUAUGUAAAAUCAUACUGUAACCUGAAAUGUGAGUAUAAUAUUCGGACGAGGCCAGUCCUGAUAUAAUACUUGAAUUUCAAAACCACACCCUCGAGGGGUGUGGUUCUGCUGACCUAAAUUUGCUUAAUAAAAUCCUAGCGUGCAAUAUGUCGUAUUACUCAAAUUAAUGAGGCAAUUCCAAAAAGAAUAUUACAAAUUUGAAAAACACACCCCCAGGGGGUGUGGUCAUCGGCAUCAAAUUUAAUUUUAAAAAAUCCUGGCAUGUGAUACUUCAUUUUUAUCAGCCCAAUAAAGCAAUCCGAAAGGAAUAUUGCACAUUUGAAAAACACACCCCCAGGGGGUGUGGUCAUCGGCAUCAAAUUUAAUUUUAAAAAAGCCUGGCAUGUGAUACUUCAUUUUUAUCCGCCAAACAAAUCAAUCUGAAAAACUUGGUGGUGCGUGGUUCCUGACGCCUAAAUAAAGUUAAUAACAUCCUGUAAUAUGCCAUGCCACUUAUCUUUGCCCGAUUACGAAAUUGUGGCAGAGUCUACAGCAAUUGAAGAACCUCCCCUCUGUAGGAGAGUGUUCUUUACACCUACCUACAUAAAUUUAGCUGAAUACAGCCAUCGAAGGCAUGAAGUGUGUGUUUAAAUGUGUAAUUAAAACAAGUUCAAAAACAAAACUGCAUUUAGAAUUAUAAACAAGAACUAUUUACUGUUCCACAUCAUGACAGUGUUGCGAAGAAUGAACAGGGGAAGCAGUUUCGUAGUUUUCAGGAGGAAAUGCUUAUGAAAUUUUAUUUCAGUCGUGUGUUGCAAAUGGCAACCUAAAAUGGCAAAUGAUCGAAAUAUUAUAGGUGCCAACGAAAUAUUCAUAAAAGCGUGCGUACUUUGACAGAAUACGGUUAUGAUAAUUACAGAUAAAAUGAUUAUUUUACUUAUGUAAAUUAUUAAUUUGGCAAACUAUGUAGGUAUAAGCCGCUUUGCCAUGCAAUUAUAAUUCUAAUACUGAUAGGGUGCAAAUAAGUUGGCCUAAUUAUAAAUCAAUUGUAUCUUGAGAUAAGCCCAAGUUAAACUACAAAAUUACAAAAUAUCAUUAAUCAGUGCAAUUAUAUCUGGACAAGUUGAGUCACGCAUGGAAUUGAAAUUUUCGUCGCGUAAUUGAGAAUGCUUUGGGGCACGAAAGGACAUUUUUUAGCGGGUUUGUUGGGAGAGUCAACUGGAAUACUUUGGAGUGUUCUAGAAAUUCGCAUGUGUUGUUGUUGCAUUUUUUUGUGAAAUUUUGUAAAAAUCAAAGUUAUCAUCAAUGUCAGACUCCGAAAUAGAGACGGAUUCAUCUGACUGGUCGUACCAAGGGACGACUGAAGAAGAAGAAAGUGAAGGGGACGACGUAUUUUCAGUAGACGAAGUUGUGGCAGCCACGGGUGUUGAUUUCGAAAUCCAAGAACUCUGGAAGACAUUGUUUUCCCGGCCCUGUACGAAUGCAGAUUAAAAAUUCCAAAACGAAAAUACGACGACCUUCAGGAUCUUCUUCAAGUAAUUCCUCAGCAAUUUCAUGAUUUUUAUAUCAAUUUGCCAAAAUAAAACAUGUGAAAUGCGUAAAAAAUAUGCGAAAAAUGUGUAAUGUAGGUUUACUUACUAGUAUUUUCAUUGUCAUCUAAUAAAACCAGCAAUUUUUGAUACUUAA